rnacentral:rRNA from 1 species
UCGCGCUACCAUGCAGUCGAGCGGAGAUGAGGUGCUUGCACCUUAUCUUAGCGGCGGACGGGNUUAUUUAAUGCUUAGGAAUCUGCCUAUUAGUGGGGGACAACAUUCCGAAAGGAAUGCUAAUACCGCAUACGUCCUACGGGAGAAAGCAGGGGAUCUUCGGACCUUGCGCUAAUAGAUGAGCCUAAGUCGGAUUAGCUAGUUGGUGGGGUAAAGGCCUACCAAGGCGACGAUCUGUAGCGGGUCUGAGAGGAUGAUCCGCCACACUGGGACUGAGACACGGCCCAGACUCCUACGGGAGGCAGCAGUGGGGAAUAUUGGACAAUGGGGGGAACCCUGAUCCAGCCAUGCCGCGUGUGUGAAGAAGGCCUUAUGGUUGUAAAGCACUUUAAGCGAGGAGGAGGCUACUGAGACUAAUACUCUUGGAUAGUGGACGUUACUCGCAGAAUAAGCACCGGCUAACUCUGUGCCAGCAGCCGUGGUAAUACAGAGGGUGCGAGCGUUAAUCGGAUUUACUGGGCGUAAAGCGUGCGUAGGCGGCUUUUUAAGUCGGAUGUGAAAUCCCCGAGCUUAACUUGGGAAUUGCAUUCGAUACUGGGAAGCUAGAGUAUGGGAGAGGAUGGUAGAAUUCCAGGUGUAGCGGUGAAAUGCGUAGAGAUCUGGAGGAAUACCCGAUGGCGAAGGCAGCCAUCCUGGCCUAAUACUGACGCUGAGGUACGAANGCAUGGGGAGCAAACAGGAUUAGAUACCCUGGUAGUCCAUGCCGUAAACGAUGUCUACUAGCCGUUGGGGCCUUUGANGCUUUAGUGGCGCAGCUAACGCGAUAAGUAAACCGCCUGGGGAGUACGGUCGCAAGACUAAAACUCAAUGAAUUGACGGG